UGGGGAAUAUUGCACAAUGGGGGAAACCCUGAUGCAGCAACGCUGCGUGAAGGAUGAAGGUUUUCGGAUUGUAAACUUCUUUAGUCAGGGACGAAUAAAUGACGGUACCUGAAGAAUAAGCCACGGCUAACUACGU
rnacentral:rRNA from 1 species